UAGGGAAUCUUCGGCAAUGGACGAAAGUCUGACCGAGCAACGCCGCGUGAGUGAAGAAGGUUUUCGGAUCGUAAAACUCUGUUGUUAGAGAAGAACAAGGACGUUAGUAACUGAACGUCCCCUGACGGUAUCUAACCAGAAAGCCACGGCUAACUACGUGCCAGCAGCCGCGGUAAUACGUAGGUGGCAAGCGUUGUCCGGAUUUAUUGGGCGUAAAGCGAGCGCAGGCGGUUUCUUAAGUCUGAUGUGAAAGCCCCCGGCUCAACCGGGGAGGGUCAGUGGAAACUGGGAGACUUGAGUGCAGAAGAGGAGAGUGGAAUUCCAUGUGUAGCGGUGAAAUGCGUAGAUAUAUGGAGGAACACCAGUGGCGAAGGCGGCUCUCUGGUCUGUAACUGACGCUGAGGCUAGAAAGCGUGGGGAGCAAACAGG
rnacentral:rRNA from 1 species